AAGCUUUUAGUUUAAUUAGAAUUUUUUAUUCAUUAUAAAGUGGUUUUAAGCUUU
rnacentral:tRNA from 1 species